AGAGUUUGAUCAUGGCUCAGAUUGAACGCUGGCGGCAGGCCUAACACAUGCAAGUCGAACGGUAACAGGAAACAGCUUGCUGUUUCGCUGACGAGUGGCGGACGGGUGAGUAAUGUCUGGGAAACUGCCUGAUGGAGGGGGAUAACUACUGGAAACGGUAGCUAAUACCGCAUAACGUCGCAAGACCAAAGAGGGGGACCUUCGGGCCUCUUGCCAUCGGAUGUGCCCAGAUGGGAUUAGCUAGUAGGUGGGGUAACGGCUCACCUAGGCGACGAUCCCUAGCUGGUCUGAGAGGAUGACCAGCCACACUGGAACUGAGACACGGUCCAGACUCCUACGGGAGGCAGCAGUGGGGAAUAUUGCACAAUGGGCGCAAGCCUGAUGCAGCCAUGCCGCGUGUAUGAAGAAGGCCUUCGGGUUGUAAAGUACUUUCAGCGGGGAGGAAGGGAGUAAAGUUAAUACCUUUGCUCAUUGACGUUACCCGCAGAAGAAGCACCGGCUAACUCCGUGCCAGCAGCCGCGGUAAUACGGAGGGUGCAAGCGUUAAUCGGAAUUACUGGGCGUAAAGCGCACGCAGGCGGUUUGUUAAGUCAGAUGUGAAAUCCCCGGGCUCAACCUGGGAACUGCAUCUGAUACUGGCAAGCUUGAGUCUCGUAGAGGGGGGUAGAAUUCCAGGUGUAGCGGUGAAAUGCGUAGAGAUCUGGAGGAAUACCGGUGGCGAAGGCGGCCCCCUGGACGAAGACUGACGCUCAGGUGCGAAAGCGUGGGGAGCAAACAGGAUUAGAUACCCUGGUAGUCCACGCCGUAAACGAUGUCGACUUGGAGGUUGUGCCCUUGAGGCGUGGCUUCCGGAGCUAACGCGUUAAGUCGACCGCCUGGGGAGUACGGCCGCAAGGUUAAAACUCAAAAUGAAUUGACGGGGGGCCCGCACAAGCGGUGGAGCAUGUGGUUUAAUUCGAUGCAACGCGAAGAACCUUACCUGGUCUUGACAUCCACGGAAGUUUUCAGAGAUGAGAAUGUGCCUUCGGGAGCCGUGAGACAGGUGCUGCAUGGCUGUCGUCAGCUCGUGUUGUGAAAUGUUGGGUUAAGUCCCGCAACGAGCGCAACCCUUAUCCUUUGUUGCCAGCGGUCCGGCCGGGAACUCAAAGGAGACUGCCAGUGAUAAACUGGAGGAAGGUGGGGAUGACGUCAAGUCAUCAUGGCCCUUACGACCAGGGCUACACACGUGCUACAAUGGCGCAUACAAAGAGAAGCGACCUCGCGAGAGCAAGCGGACCUCAUAAAGUGCGUCGUAGUCCGGAUUGGAGUCUGCAACUCGACUCCAUGAAGUCGGAAUCGCUAGUAAUCGUGGAUCAGAAUGCCACGGUGAAUACGUUCCCGGGCCUUGUACACACCGCCCGUCACACCAUGGGAGUGGGUUGCAAAAGAAGUAGGUAGCUUAACCUUCGGGAGGCGCUUACCACUUUGUGAUUCAUGACUGGGGUGAAGUCGUAACAAGGUAACCGUAGGGGAACCUGCGGUUGGAUCACCU
rnacentral:rRNA from 1 species